rnacentral:rRNA from 1 species
GAUGAACGCUGGCGGCGUGCCUAAUACAUGCAAGUCGAGCGAACCACUUCGGUGGUGAGCGGCGAACGGGUGAGUAACACGUAGGUGAUCUGCCCAUCAGACGGGGACAACGAUUGGAAACGAUCGCUAAUACCGGAUAGGACGAAAGUUUAAAGGUGCUUCUGGCACCGCUGAUGGAUGAGCCUGCGGCGCAUUAGCUAGUUGGUAGGGUAAAGGCCUACCAAGGCGACGAUGCGUAGCCGACCUGAAAGGGUGAACGGCCACACUGGGACUGAGACACGGCCCAGACUCCUACGGGAGGCAGCAGUAGGGAAUCUUCGGCAAUGGGCGAAAGCCUGACCGAGCAACGCCGCGUGAAUGAUGAAGGCCUUCGGGUUGUAAAAUUCUGUUAUAAGGGAAGAACGACUUUAGUAGGAAAUGGCUAGAGUGUGACGGUACCUUAUGAGAAAGCCACGGCUAACUACGUGCCAGCAGCCGCCGUAAUAC